GCGGAGAGCAGCGGGCGGCCGGGCAAACGGCGGGGAGGAGGAGGGCAUCCCUGCCGCCCCCCGCGCAGGGCGCGCCUGGAGCCGCCGCUGCCUGUCCCGCCGCCCGGGGCGGCCCGCGCCCCUCCGCGGUGCGGUGCGGUGCGUGUAUGCUGGGCGCGGGGCGGCUGCCGCUGCUGCUGAAGGUGAAGCUCUCGCUCUCCAAUUACUUUUCCCAAGAGGGAGAAGGAGGGAGCAGGAGGGGGAAGUCGUGCGGUGUGUGAGGCGCAAACCAAUCAGCGAUGCUCUAACGGAGGGAUUGCUGCAGGACGCGCCGGCUUUUCCUCCCUUCCUCUGCCGGCGGGGCUGAAUCGGGACCGCGCGCAGCUGGCGGAGGGGCGGGAGCCGCACCGGGCUGCAGGACUUCCUCACUCUCCGCUUUUCCGAUACCUAAUCCAUACUUCGUCCUCUUAAUAAUAUUAUUAUUAUUUUUAUUAUUUGAAUACUCUGUCAUCGUGCACGAGAAACACUUCAAGUCUUCCCUCCCUCCCCACGUACUUCACCCUUCCUCUGGCAUCCCUUAGCCGGAUUCCUGCUGUAUCCCCCGAGAGGCGGGGCAGACCCGGACCCCGCGGACGGCUGCCUGCCCCGGCGCGGCAGAGCCGAGCGGAGCGGAGCGGCGCUCCAUGCCCCGGGCGCUGGCGGGGCGCGGGGCGUGUGCCGGCGAUGCCCGGGCGGUAGGGCUGGAGCUCCCCCCCGACGGGAGGCGGCCGAUCGCUAGGUGUUUCCAGCAGGGAGCGGGGCUGCAGGAUGAAUAAGAGAUACUUACAGAAGGCAACAAAAGGAAAACUGCUAAUAAUAAUAUUUGUUGUAACGCUGUGGGGGAAAUUAGCAUCUGGAGCAAAUCAUCAUAAAGCUCACCAUGUUAAAACUGGGACGUGUGAAGUGGUGGCACUCCACAGAUGUUGCAAUAAGAACAAGAUAGAAGAAAGAUCACAGACAGUGAAGUGCUCCUGCUUCCCUGGGCAGGUAGCAGGUACCACCCGGGCAGCUCCUUCUUGUGUUGAUGCUUCAAUAGUGGAGCAGAAAUGGUGGUGCCACAUGCAACCAUGUCUUGAAGGGGAGGAAUGUAAAGUUCUUCCAGAUCGUAAGGGAUGGAGCUGUUCCUCUGGGAAUAAAGUGAAAACAACUAGGGCAAACGUGUAAAACUCCUCAAGUCCGAAUGGAGAAGUAGAGAAAGGAGGUUUCUGCUGUGCCUGAUGACAAUUUUUGUUUUUUCCACACACACAAAAUAUUCUGGCUCCAUGUUGGAGCACUAGUUGUGAUGAAUCCUAGUCUUGGUCGGAUUCUAAGGAAGGGCCAGAACGUUCGUUGAGGAAUAAAGAGUCAAACCACUCCAGAAAAUGUGUUCCAGCCCUGGUUUAUUACUCACAGAGCAGCAGGUAACCCGAUAGCUAAAGACAAAUCAAGUCAGUCUCAAGGCUGAUAACAUUAAAUACAACACAUAGGAAUUUCAUUCCUCCAGGCAGUACCUGAAGUGAAAUUUUAUACUGCUGGGGUGUAUCCUUCAGAAUCAAUUGUUUCAAUGAGAACCUGGCUUGUAAUCAGCAACAGCCUUGAGAUCAAAACUACUGGAAAGUUAUUUUGAACUUCUGUGUCACAAAGAUUUCAACUGAUUGAACUGUGUACACUUGUAAAAUUGCACUUGCUGAGGAAUUUGCAGCUGUAAUCACAAGAGCUGAUAUUCAAAAGGUGCAGAAAAGCAGCAAUCUUUCAGAUUCUCAAUUCCAGACCAGUGGCUUUUCAUCUUGAUGAAGUCAACCUCCAAAACGUAUUGGUUCCUUCUCUCUAAAAUGAUCCCUGGUCCACCAUUCAGAUUGCUGGUGGGACUGCACGCUGCUUUAAUUAGAUUUCUGUUGCAGAAAUUGUCCUCUGGCAUGGCGCAGUUUUAGACAUUUUUAUUUGUAUUCUAAUCUUGGAGCUCUCAAAGGUACAUAUUUCAACAUCUUGAAGUUGCUUUUGUUAUAGGAAUGAAAAUAUAUAUCCAUUGUUAAUAAUUAUUGUUGACAAGUAAUAGUUAUCUGAAUACAUCAGUCAUAUUAGAAUGCAUAGUCAGGUUGACAUGUUUCCCUAAGGCUAGCCAACUACUGCAGCUCUUUGGCAGUUACAAAAGUAGUGGUCAAAACUCAAUUACCACUUCCAUUAUAAGACAUUUUAUACCUUUAAGAUACACAUUUGCAUUUAGUUUGAAAGAGAUGGGUGUUCCUGAUAUGUAUUUUACUUUCCCAACCUUUAAUUCAUUGAAAUUCAUGGUAAGCAGUCAAUGACAGUAUUUCAUCCCUUUUUAUAAAGGUAGGCAGGGAUGUAAAUGAGUUUUGCAAUUAUGAAAUUGGAUGGUAAUCAUUUGGAAUUUUUGUCUUUUUAUUAAAAAAUAAAAUCUCUUGCUUGAACCUAAGUACUGUUGGAUGCUUAUGUAGAUGUCUGCUCAGUCUGUUUGCUAUAAAGGAAAAAAGUCCUAGUGCCCUCCCUGAUUUACAGUUUGUGGGUAUUUUGCUUGCUUACAGUCAUCCAAUUCAGAUAUGGUCCUUGCCAAGAUCAUAUUUAUUUUUUAAAUUUUUUGUUUCAGUAGCAAUUUUUGAACUUUGUGAUGUGCUGUUACAUGAAAAAAAUCCUCAAUAUUUAAAGGCCUUAAGCAUCUAUGAGCUUUUUUCUAAGUUAUUACAGAAUGUAUAAUUUUAUACUCCAUUUAAUGUAUAUUGUACCAUCUGUAAUAUUGAUACAACUGGCAAUUCCUUGUAGUGACACUGCAUAAGCAUGCUGACUGGAGAGGGUGACGGAGUUGUGUAUGCUUUGGUGCAUUGAAAUGAAAACCACACACACUUAAUGGUAGUCAAAAAUAUAUAGGGGCAAGCUUAUUUAAAAGUCCUGUGUGGCUAACAGAGUCCUAGAAAAAGAAGGAAAUUAUUUUAUCAUCACAAGCCAUUGACAGGCUUGGUAGUUAUAUAUUAAGUUCCAUGAUGGAUGAACACCUUGGAGUGCUCUGCCUGUCACAGUAGCCCCUGCUGUUCCAAACCCAUUUCAUUACCUCUGCUGUAUUAUUGCACAGGAGAGCUUAAAUAAAAUAAAUGACUGUUGGGAAUAAAAUUGAGAAGUAUAUUCUAUCAUUCUGCUGAGAAAUAAUAAAAAAUGUUGGCAGGGAAAGAUAUUCUUUUCUGAUUAAAAUUUAAUUAGGAUAAACUGUAUUAGCAGCAACUAGGUAUCUCAGUAUUUUAGGAUAGGUUAAUAUUGUAUGGAUUUAUGCUAACAGGUGCAGGACAGAAGGUUAGCAUCUUAAAGAGGUUGUCUGGGACAGUGCAAAGUGUAAAUGUGCUGUUUUGUAAAAUCUGAACAUGGCCCCUCUUUGGUCAAAAAUCUACAUCAUGCUUCUCAAUAUUUGUUUUCUUUGUUUCUUUGUUCUUAAACCAACACUGAAAAUACUGUAUUAUAUACAAGUGUAACACAUGCAUAUCAAUAAGUGAAAAUAAAUGGAUUUUCAAAUAUACUGAAUAGA